rnacentral:rRNA from 1 species
GUAGGUGGCAAGCGUUGUCCGGAAUUAUUGGGCGUAAAGCGCGCGCAGGUGGUUCUUUAAGUCUGAUGUGAAAGCCCCCGGCUCAACCGGGGAGGGUCAUUGGAAACUGGGGAACUUGAGUGCAGGAGAGGAAAGUGGAAUUCCACGUGUAGCGGUGAAAUGCGUAGAUAUGUGGAGGAACACCAGUGGCGAAGGCGACUUUCUGGCCUGUAACUGACACUGAGGCGCGAAAGCGUGGGGAGCAAACAGGGAUUAGAUACCCUGGUAGUCCACGCCGUAAACGAUGAGUGCUAAGUGUUGGGGGGGUUUCCGCCCCCUCAGUGCUGCAGCUAGCGCAUUAAGCACUCCGCCUGGGAGUACGGUCGCAAGCUG